GACGAACGCUGGCGGCGUGCUUAACACAUGCAAGUCGAGCGGAAAGGCCAUUUCGUUGUUCCUCGAGCGCCAAACGGGUGGGUAACACUUGGUUAAUCGCCCCCUGCCUUGGGGUAAGCCACGGAAAACGGUAAUAAAAACCGAAUAGGACCCUUUCCCGCAGGCGUUUGUUUGGAAAUUUUUUCGGCAGGGGAUGUGCUCGCGGCCUAUCAGCUUGAUGGUGAGGUAAUGGCUCACCAUGGCUUCGACGGGUAGCCGGCCUGAGAGGGUGACCGGUCACACUGGGACUGAGACACGGCCCAGACUCCUACGGGAGGCAGCAGUGGGGAAUAUUGGACAAUGGGCGGAAGCCUGAUCCAGCAACGCCGCGUGAGGGAUGACGGCCUUCGGGUUGUAAACCUCUUUCAGUACCGACGAAGCGCAAGUGACGGUAGGUACAGAAGAAGCACCGGCCAACUACGUG
rnacentral:rRNA from 1 species